AGAUUAAGCAAAGAAGAGCGCAGGGUGGAUGCCUUGGCACUAAGAGCCGAAGAAAGACGUGAUAAGCUGCGAAAAGCUGCGGGGAGAUGCAAAUAAUCCUUGAUCCGCAGAUGUCUGAAUGGGGAAACCCGGUACGAAGAACUCGUAUCAUCAUACGCCAAUCCAUAACGUAUGGAGGGGAACCCGGUGAACUGAAACAUCUAAGUAGCCGGAGGAAGAGAAAGAAACAUCGAUUUUGUUAGUAGCGGCGAGCGAAAGCGAAAGAGGCCAAACCGGAGUGCGUGCACUCCGGGGUUCGGACCGCAUUUAAGAUUCAGUGAUUCUAGCAGAAAGGUUUGGGAAAGCCUGCCGGAGAGGGUGAAAGCCCCGUAAGCGAAAGGAAAGCUGACUGAGCGGGAUCCAGAGUACAUCGAGACACGAGAAACCUUGAUGGAAUGAGCGGGGACCACCCCGUAAGCCUAAAUACUACUUAGUGACCGAUAGCGCAUAGUACUGUGAAGGAAAGGUGAAAAGGACCCCGGGAGGGGAGUGAAAGAGAACCUGAAACCCUGUGUUUACAAGCUGUGGAAGUUCUUUAAAUGAACAACCGCGUACUUUUUGUAGAACGGUCCGGCGAGUUGCGGAUACUGGCAAGGUUAAGCACUUAAGGUGCGGAGCCGAAGGGAUACCAAGUCUUAACAGGGCGUUAAGUCAGUAUACGCAGACCCGAAACCGGGUGAUCUAUCCAUGUCCAGGUUGAAGUUGUCGUAAAAGACAAUGGAGGACCGAAGCCACAUCCGUUGAAAAGGGUGGGCAUGAGGUGUGGAUAGGGGAGAAAUUCCAAUCGAACCCGGAGAUAGCUGGUUCUCCUCGAAAUAGCUUUAGGGCUAGCCUCGAUUUAGUCUUAUGGAGGUAGAGCACUGAAUUUCCGCGGGGGCGUCAAAGCUUACCAAAGAAUAUCAAACUCCGAAUGCCAUGUAGAUGAUGAUCGGGAGUCAGACUGCACGAGAUAAGUUGGGCAGUCAAAAGGGAAAGAGCCCAGACCACCGGCUAAGGUCCCAAAGUGCGUGUUAAGUGGAAAAGGAUGUGGGAAUUCGAAGACAACUAGGAUGUUGGCUCAGAAGCAGCCAUACAUUCAAAGAGUGCGUAACAGCUCACUAGUCGAGAGUUCCUGCGCCGAAAAUGUCCGGGGCUGAAACACGACACCGAAGCCGUGGACUCGCAAUGCGAGUGGUAGAGGAGCAUUCUUAAAACCGACGAAGCUGUACCGAAAGGAGCAGUGGAGGGAUAAGAAGAGAGAAUGCCGGAAUGAGUAGCGAGAGAAAGGUGGGAAUCCUUUCGGCCGAAUAUCUAAGGUUUCCAGAGUAAAGCUGAUCUGCUCUGGGUAAGUCGGGGCCUAAGCACAGGUCGCAAGACGUAAGCGAUGGAUAACAGGUUUAGAUUCCUGUACCACGCAUUAUCAGAACUGUAGGGACGCAUGUGGAAAGCACGAGCCGGGAAUGGAAAGACCGGUACAAGCGGGGUAGGUGUACAAUAGGCAAAUCCGUUGUAUAAUCCGAAGACGUGAUGUGGAGCGAAAUAAAGUAGUGAAGCGUGUGAGCCAUGUGCCGAGAAAAGCUGCUAUUGUGUAAUGCGUGCCCGUACCGUAAACCGACACAGGUGGAUGAGGAGAGAAUCCUAAGGCCGACGGAAGAAGCAUUGUUAAGGAAUUCGGCAAAAUGACCCCGUAACUUCGGGAGAAGGGGUGCCUGCGAGAGCAGGCCGCAGAGAAUAGGCUCAAGCAACUGUUUAGCAAAAACACAGGUCUAUGCGAAACCGAAAGGUGAAGUAUAUGCUGACGCCUGCCCGGUGCUGGAAGGUUAAGAGGAGAGGUUAGCGUAAGCGAAGCUUUGAAUUUAAGCCCCAGUAAACGGCGGCCGUAACUAUAACGGUCCUAAGGUAGCGAAAUUCCUUGUCGGGUAAGUUCCGACCCGCACGAAAGGCGUAAUGAUUUGAGCACUGUCUCGACAAUGCAUCCGGUGAAAUUGAAGUACCAGUGAAGAUGCUGGUUACCCGCGCCAGGACGGAAAGACCCCAUGGAGCUUUACUCCAGUUUGAUACUGGGAUUCGGUACUGCAUGUACAGGAUAGGUGGGAGACGAAGAAGGAUGGACGCCAGUCUGUCCGGAGUCGCUGUUGGGAUACCACCCUGUAGUACUGGGUUUCUAACCAGUUGCCAUGAACUGGCAAUGGGACAAUGUCAGGCGGGGAGUUUGACUGGGGCGGUCGCUCCGAAAGGGUAUCGGAGGCGCUCAAAGGUUCCCUCAGAAUGGUUGGAAACCAUUUGAAGAGUGCAAAGGCAGAAGGGAGCUUGACUGCGACACCGACGGGUGGAGCAGGUACGAAAGUAGGACUUAGUGAUCCGGUGGUAUAAAGUGGGAUUGCCAUCGCUCAACGGAUAAAAGCUACCCUGGGGAUAACAGGCUUAUCACUCCCAAGAGUUCACAUCGACGGAGUGGUUUGGCACCUCGAUGUCGGCUCAUCGCAUCCUGGGGCUGUAGCAGGUCCCAAGGGUUGGGCUGUUCGCCCAUUAAAGCGGUACGCGAGCUGGGUUCAGAACGUCGUGAGACAGUUCGGUCCCUAUCCGGCGCGGGCGGAGGAUAUUUGAGAGGAGCUGUCCUUAGUACGAGAGGACCGGGAUGGACGGACCACUGGUGUAUCUGUUGUCGACCAACGGCAUGGCAGAGUAGCCAAGUCUGGAAGGGAUAAACGCUGAAGGCAUCUAAGCGUGAAGCCCCCCUCAAGAUGAGAUAUCCCUCCUAUAUGGAGUAAGACCCCUUGAAGACUACAAGGUAGAUAGGGCAGAGGUGGAAGCAUGGCAACAUGUGGAGCUGACUGUUACUAAUAGGUCGAGGGCUUAAUCUG
rnacentral:rRNA from 1 species